rnacentral:tRNA from 1 species
GGGGCUGUAGCUCAAUGGGCUAGAGCACGCCGCUCGCACCGGCAAGACUCGGGUUCGAUUCCCGGCGGCUCCACCA